UACGGAGGGGGGCUAGCGUUGUUCGGAAUUACUGGGCGUAAAGCGCGCGUAGGCGGCUUUGCAAGUCGAGUGUGAAAUCCCCCAGGCUUAACCUGGGAACUGCAUUCGAGACUGCAUGGCUAGAGUAUGGGAGAGGGAAGUGGAAUUUCAGGUGUAGCGGUGAAAAUGCGUAGAUAUCUGAAGGAACAUCAGUGGCGAAAAGCGACUUCCUGGACCAAUACUGACGCUCAUGUGCGAAAACGUGGGGGAGCAAACAGGA
rnacentral:rRNA from 1 species